rnacentral:rRNA from 1 species
UGGGGAAUAUUGCACAAUGGGCGCAAGCCUGAUGCAGCAACGCCGCGUGAACGAUGAAGGUCUUCGGAUCGUAAAGUUCUGUUGCAGGGGAAGAUAAUGACGGUACCCUGUGAGGAAGCCCCGGCUAACUACGUGCCAGCAGCCGCGGUAAUACGUAGGGGGCUAGCGUUAUCCGGAUUUACUGGGCGUAAAGGGUGCGUAGGUGGUCUUUCAAGUCGGUGGUUAAAGGCUACGGCUCAACCGUAGUUAGCCUCCGAAACUGGAAGACUUGAGUGCAGGAGAGGAAAGUGGAAUUCCCAGUGUGGCGGUGAAAUGCGUAGAUAUUGGGGGGAACACCAGUAGCGAAGGCGGCUUUCUGGACUGCAACUGACACUGGGGCACGAAAGCGUGGGUAGCAAACAGG